CUGGCGGCGUGCUUAACACAUGCAAGUCGAACGGUGAUGACCAGCUUGCUGGUCGGAUCAGUGGCGAACGGGUGAGUAACACGUGAGUAACCUGCCCCAGACUCUGGGAUAAGCCUUGGAAACGAGGUCUAAUACUGGAUAUGAGAUGCCCCUGCAUGGGGAGUGUCUGGAAAGAUUUAUCGGUCUGGGAUGGACUCGCGGCCUAUCAGCUUGUUGGUGGGGUAAUGGCCUACCAAGGCGACGACGGGUAGCCGGCCUGAGAGGGCGACCGGCCACACUGGGACUGAGACACGGCCCAGACUCCUACGGGAGGCAGCAGUGGGGAAUAUUGCACAAUGGGCGCAAGCCUGAUGCAGCGACGCCGCGUGAGGGAUGAAGGCCUUCGGGUUGUAAACCUCUUUCAGCAGGGAAGAAGCGCAAGUGACGGUACCUGCAGAAGAAGCGCCGGCUAACUACGUGCCAGCAGCCGCGGUAAUACGUAGGGCGCAAGCGUUGUCCGGAAUUAUUGGGCGUAAAGAGCUCGUAGGCGGUUUGUCGCGUCUGGUGUGAAAACUCAAGGCUCAACCUUGAGCUUGCAUCGGGUACGGGCAGACUAGAGUGCGGUAGGGGUGACUGGAAUUCCUGGUGUAGCGGUGGAAUGCGCAGAUAUCAGGAGGAACACCGAUGGCGAAGGCAGGUCACUGGGCCGCAACUGACGCUGAGGAGCGAAAGCAUGGGGAGCGAACAGGAUUAGAUACCCUGGUAGUCCAUGCCGUAAACGUUGGGCACUAGGUGUGGGGCUCAUUCCACGAGUUCCGUGCCGCAGCAAACGCAUUAAGUGCCCCGCCUGGGGAGUACGGCCGCAAGGCUAAAACUCAAAGGAAUUGACGGGGGCCCGCACAAGCGGCGGAGCAUGCGGAUUAAUUCGAUGCAACGCGAAGAA
rnacentral:rRNA from 1 species